UUGGGGAUGUAGCUCAGUGGUAGAGCACUGGCCUACCAUGAGAGAGACCCUGGAUUUGAUCCCCAGUAUCAAAA
rnacentral:tRNA from 1 species